GACGAACGCUGGCGGCGUGCUUAACACAUGCAAGUCGAACGGAAAGGCCCUGCUUUUGUGGGGUGCUCGAGUGGCGAACGGGUGAGUAACACGUGAGUAACCUGCCCUUGACUUUGGGAUAACUUCAGGAAACUGGGGCUAAUACCGGAUAGGAGCUCCUGCUGCAUGGUGGGGGUUGGAAAGUUUCGGCGGUUGGGGAUGGACUCGCGGCUUAUCAGCUUGUUGGUGGGGUAGUGGCUUACCAAGGCUUUGACGGGUAGCCGGCCUGAGAGGGUGACCGGCCACAUUGGGACUGAGAGACGGCGCAGACUCCUACGGGAGGCAGUAGUGGGGAAUAUUGCACAAUGGGCGGAAGCCUGAUGCAGCAACGCCGCGUGCGGGACGACGGCCUUCGGGUUGUAAACCGCUUUCGCCUGUGACGAAGCGUGAGUGACGGUAAUGGGUAAAGAAGCACCGGCUAACUACGUG
rnacentral:rRNA from 1 species